AUCUGCAGCCAUACCACCCUGAAUGCGCCUGAUCUCGUCUGAUCUCGGAAGCUUAGCAGGUUGGGGCCCAUUUAGUACUUGGAUGGGAGACCGCCUGGAAAUACCAGUCGCUAUAGGUU
ensembl:rRNA 5S_rRNA 5S ribosomal RNA